AUGCGGCAGUACGGGUCCAUCCGGGUCACGCCGUAUACCGGGCCCCGCUGGGUGCUGACGGUGGUCGCCAUGGCCGCGUCGCCCGCUCCCCGCCGGGACCUGGGACCCGAACACCCGCGUCUCCUCCUCCUCCUCCUCCUCCUCUUCCUCCUCCGCCGUUGCCGUCAGCUGACUGACCGCCCGCCCGGCCCCGCCCCCGGCCCCGCCCCCGGCGCGCGGCGCGUCUACGCUGCGCAGGCGUACGCAGGGUCCUUCCCCGCAACAGCCGGCGGGGGCGGGGCAACUUCCGCUUCCGCCACUCUGAGUUCCGCCCCGCCCCCGACCGAGCCCGGAUGUUCGCGGCAGAAUCGCGCCUGCGCAGUUUGCCGUUCUCGCGGAUGCCUCGGGCGGCCACUGUUGCGCAUGCGCCGACCCCUGCUCGCCUCGGGCCUGAGAGGAGCCAGUGGGAAAUGCCGGGCCCGGAAAGGGCCUGGAAUCCCGCCGGGGACGGGGAUCUCACCGCCUCCCGAGCACCCCCUUCUCCUUGGGACGGCGCUCCUCUGGGGCCCGAGCCACCGCCUCCCCCCGGACGGGCGGUCCAGCCACCAAGGGAGAUGCUCGGCUUCCCCCGCUGGCUUUCCUGCCUGUGGGACGUGCUGGAGAUGCCGGGGGCUCCCACCCGCCCCCCACCUCCUCCCUGCGAAUGACGCCCGCACCGGCCAACCCAGCCCCGACCUCUCGCCGCCCCAGUUGCACCCGCAGACAUCUCAAACUGCCCUCGUCCGAAACAGGACUUGUCAUCCCCUCCCAAAAGUAGCCCGAUCGCCGCAGCGCUCCGGGAUCCCUGGGAGUCAUCCUGGGAGUCGCCAGCCCCCUUACUCUCGCAACCCCCCCCCCCCAUCCAAGACGGUGCUAGGCCCGCCGGUUCCAGCUCCCCGGCACCUCGGGGGCUCCGUCUUGUUGAGGAGGAAGACAUACCCGCAACACAACCCUUCGGUCGGUGUCCUAGGCUUGGCGAGGGAAUCGCACACUUCGUCUGUCUCCGGGUUAAGGGGCAAAGGUUCGUUACGCUGCUCGCAGCGGGCUGACUCCGGGGGACCGAGCAGUCAGAAUCCAGGGGAUGAUUGUAACUGA
rnacentral:lncRNA from 1 species